CUACGGGAGGCUCCAGGCGAGAAAACCUUGCAAUGUGCGAAAGCACGACAAGGUUAAUCCGAGUGGUUUGUGCUAAACGAACCUUUUGACAGUCCUAGAAACACUGUUGAAUAAGGGGUGGGCAAGUUCUGGUGUCAGCCGCCGCGGUAAAACCAGCACCUCAAGUGGUCAGGAUGAUUAUUGGGCCUAAAGCAUCCGUAGCCGGCUCUGUAAGUUUUCGGUUAAAUCUGUACGCUCAACGUACAGGCUGCCGGGAAUACUGCAGAGCUAGGGAGUGGGAGAGGUAGACGGUACUCGGUAGGAAGGGGUAAAAUCCUUUGAUCUAUUGAUGACCACCUGUGGCGAAGGCGGUCUACCAGAACACGUCCGACGGUGAGGGAUGAAAGCUGGGGGAGCAAACCGGAUUAGAUACCCGUGUAGUC
rnacentral:rRNA from 1 species